rnacentral:rRNA from 1 species
GCGGACGGCUCAGUAACANGUAGUCAACCUAACUCGUGGACGUGGAUAACCUCGGGAAACUGAGAAUAAACCACGAUAGAUCAUAGUGCCUGGAAUGGCUUAUGGUCCAAACAGUUUACUGCCAUGGGAUGGGACUGCGGCCUAUCAGCUUGUUGGUGAGGUAAUGGCCCACCAAGGCGAUUACAGGUACGGGCUCUGAGAGGAGAAGCCCGGAGAUGGGUACUGAGACACGGACCCAGGCCCUAUGGGGCGCAGCAGGCGAGAAACCUUAGCAAUGUGCGAAAGCACGACUGGGUCAGUCCGAGUGAUUCCUGAUAAAGGAGUCUUUUGCUUGUCCUAAAAGCACAGGUGAAUAAGGGGUGGGCAAGUCUGGUGUCAGCCGCCGCGGUAAUACCAGCACCUCGAGUGGUCAGGACGUUUAUUGGGCCUAAAGCAUCCGUAGCCGGCUUUGCAAGUCUUCGGUUAAAUCCACCUGCUCAACAGAUGGGCCGCUGGAGAUACUACAGAGCUAGGGAGUGGGAGAGGCAGACGGUAUUCAGUGGGUAGGGGUAAAAUCCUCUGAUCCAUUGAGGACCACCAGUGGCGAAGGCGGUCUGCCAGAACACGUUCGACGGUGAGGGAUGAAAGCUGGGGGAGCAAACCGGAUUAGAUACCCGGGUAGUCCCAGCUGUAAACGAUGCAAACUCGGUGAUGCAUUGGCUUAUGGCCA